UAUAAAUACUCUAUAAUUAAUAACUACAGUUUUUAUUUUAUUUCAGCUGAAGCAGGUAUGUAAUCAAUUUUUUUUUAUUGGUCUCAACAUUUUUAUAUCGCAUUACAUUUGUAGUAAAAUAGAAAAAAAAUAGAUAACCAAUUAUUAAGGUGGCUUAUGUUGAGUUUUUUUAUGCUAUCUUUGUUUUUUGUACUGUCUUUAUUUAUUGUUAUCAUUUUUAUUUUGUAUGAUAUAAUUGUUUAAUGGUCUUCAAUCUUAUAAAUCGCAAUCGGAUUCCAAUACAAAACUUAAUUUGUACAGCUGAAAAUUUAGCUAUAUUGAAAGCCACAGAAUAAGCUUCUCCGUAGAGAAUAAAUGCUAAACCAUAUAUUAUACUGACUCACUCAGUGCUCUCAAAAACUUAGACGGUCCUAAAAAAACAAAGCUAUAUGCACUAAAAUAUUUAAAAAAAUAUUUAAAAUCAAAAAAGACAUUAAUAUUGUUAAUAUUUGGCAGUACUUGUUAAUUUUAGAUCUAAUAUUUUUAGAUAUAUAAAUAAUAAUAUUACUAAUUAAUAUUUUAUAACUUGUUUUCCAGCAUACCGUGAGUAACAAUUUUGAAUAUUUUGUUCCGAUGAAUUUUAUAAUUUAUUUUUAUUUGAAAGUUUCUUGGUAAAUUUACAAAAGCAAAAUUAAAAAUUUUUUUUUUUACAUUGUUUUUUAAUCAAUUGGAAAUCAUAUUAUAAGAUACAAUUUUCAAAUUUGCAACUCUCUUUAGAAAUUAGACGUUAUAAAAGCUAUAAAUUAUGGAAGAGUGUGGAUUUUCCCGAUGAUAUUUUGUUCCGUUCGAUAAUUAAUUGUUCCCUUUUGAGACAUUUUGUUUUGUUUUUGGAUUUUUUGUUCUUCUGUGGAGACAUUUUGAUUCUUUUUAAUGUUUUAACAAAAAUAAAGUAGGAUUUUUUAUUCCUUAAUUUAAAAAUCAAAAGUAAAACGGAGGAUAUUGUGUUCUCUCAAAGGACUUUUUAUUCAAUUGUGUGAAUAAUUAAACCCUUUUAUAAAAUUUAAGAGUGGAAAAAAAUAUCCUAUAUCACAGUGGAGGUCCUGCAUGCUCAGGAAUAUGCAAUAGAGGAAAUUAUUUUUAUUUUUAUUUUUUUGUUUCUGUUAUCACAUUUUAGCAGUGGGGGCCCUCCUAUAUGUAUACUCAAUGUGUAUCCGGGUGGGUGGUCAUUGGUCAUAGACGAUAGACCACGGUGGGUUGUUUUUAAAACAAAUAUUGAAAUAUCCGCAUUAAUAUUUUUAAUAGUUUAAUUUUAAAUUUGAAUACAAUAUUACAUUGAUGUAACCGUAUUUGAAAAUGUGAAAUGACAAUUACAGUUUUCUUAUCUAAUUUUUUUAAUUUGUUUUUUUUUUAACAUAAUUAAUUUUAAUUUUUAAGCGUAAAUAAAUUUUUUUAAUUUUCAAAAAAUUCGGUUUUUUUUUUUAAUUUUCUGAAAACUGGUUUUUUUUGGAAAUGUAUUAUUUUAAUAUUCUCCAUGUUUUCCACGUUUUCCGAGACUGUGGGAAAAAAACUGUUUUUUUCGGAAUUUUUCCGAAUAUUUUCCGGCAUUUUGAUAACUAGUUUUUAUAGUUAUACAAAUAAGAAUAUAUUUCAUUUUUCAUAAGAAUUGACGUGCGUGCGUGUGCGAGUAUUGCGAUUUACAAUGAUUCUCGGAAACACACUAAAUAAUGUUAAUUUACUAAUAAAUUACUACUCAUACAUAAACAUAGCCCAAAUGUUGAUGUCAUGGUAAUUGCCUAAAUAUUACUCCUUAUAACAUGAUACGCUGGAGCUUUAUUUUGGUUUAUUUAAUUAUAAUAUAGUUUGUUGAAAUACAGUUUAUAUUUGUCUCAAUAAUACCCCACUUUAUCCUGCAAAACUACCAAGUACUUAUCUAAAAUUGCCAAACAGUUAUAAGAACAAAAUGUAUCUUAUUAUAACCAGUGUUCAUCGAAUACAUUUUCUUCAAGUAAAUUAUUUGGUAUUAUUUUAUAAUGUACAACAAUCAAAAACUUGAAAAUAAUAGUUAGGUAAUAAAGUUAUAAAAUAUCUAAUAUACUAAGCCCUUCUUAUAUUUUCUUAUAUGUACUCUGAAUUCUGAUAUAGUACCUAAUAUAGUUCUUAAAUUAUUAUUUCUUCAAACCGAAAAAUGUAUAAAAUCAAAUUAAAAAAUUUAAUCAAGUACUCCUAAAAAUAAAUACAAUUUAAUUAAAAGUAAACAAUUUUACUAUUAAGUAUUUACCAACUUGUUUUUAUUAUUUAAUUGGACGGAAAAUAUUUUACACUCCCAUAUGGGACUUGCGCUUUAACCACUAUUUAUUUACACAAGGCUGACUAAUAACGAGUGGCGACUAAAGACGUGACUAAAUACUUAAGACUUAAAACGUGUUAGCAUAGGAUUGUAUAGUAUUCGAAUUUAAUUUAUUUAGUGUUUUGAAUACUUUCGAGAAUAUAACUUUUAUUUUACAUAUUUUUUGAAAUGAAGUUUUUUAUGGCACAAUGCGGGUUGGCCGGGAAAAACGUUCCUGAUGAAAUACUAUAAUUUAUUAUAAAUUAAACAGUUGUUUUAGCCAAAACAAUUUUAUUCCAUCUUAUACUGAUCGAUCUAGUUAUAGAUUUUAAAACUGGUUUGAAUUCAUUAUUAUGUCUACUUGAUAUUGAUCAGUCCACUAUUCUCAAUUUCACCCCCCAAACAUCUAUAAAUUUAACUUGAAUAUUUAGGAAUUUCGAAAUUUGAAAACAUUGAUUAUUUGGGAUUUAUUCGGAAUAUAAACAGAAAUCUUAAAAUGUGGACUGACCAAUAUCAAAUAGACAUUCUAACGAAUUUAAAUCAGUUUUCUGAAAUAUUAUCGUAUUAUUAGAUCGAUCGGUAGGAUGGAACAAAAAAAAAGUGGUAGUGGUAAGUUGGAGUGACGGUCCGCGAUAGAUUGAUUAUAAAUAUCUUGCCUAUAAUAUUGAUAAUAUAAUUAUUGAUAAUAUAUCACCACACUAUGUAUAUUAUGCAUUUAUAAUUAUUAUAAUGAAUAAAAUAUAUUUGACAUUUUGUGACAUUUCGUCCCGUUUUAGGAUUUUUAUUCCGUUUUUAAUUUAAUCCUUUCAAAGGACAUUUUGUUCCGUUUUAAGAUUUUGGUUCUAAGAUUGAUUAUUUUGAAAAAGGAACAAAAUGUCCCCAAAAAGGAACAAAAUGUCCACGGAACAAAAUAUCACCUUACCUUCGAAUGUACUUAUAGUUCUUAGGUCAACUACAUACUUGCAAUUCCGAUAACUUUUUCAGUGUGGUUUGAUAGGCGCAAAUACAUUUUGUUCACCUAAUCUAACUUAUUUAAAAUGGUCAUUUUAAACACGUAUGUUUCUAAAAUAUGUUUUAAAUCUUAAAAUUUUUUAGCAUUCAUUUGAACAUAGUAAAUGAAGACUAAAAUUAUUGUAUUUUAUUUGUAGAUAUGAUAGCCGUAUGUUACAAAAUAUUGAAGAAUAUACUAGGGAUUCCCAAAUAAUUUAUUAGAAAACUGAAAUUAAUAUACAAAUUAAAAUCAAAUUUAGAUUUGUUUUCUAUUUAUACAAAAAACCAUUUUCUUUCAAAGUUGGACCCCAUUUUGUAAAACUAUCGAGAGCUUAUUAAAUAAAUUACUAGAUUAGCACUUUAAUUAUGCUAAAUUAUAAUUAUUUAAUAAUUAUAAUUAUAAAUUACCACUGGUUGUUUUAUUUCUAGAAAAUAGUUUUCAGAGUAAUAGUACGUAUAAAUCACAUUAUUGUUAUUACUUUUUUUUUUCAUUUUGUUACUCAAGGUUUACUAGCACAAUAAUAAUAAAAAUAAUAAUAAGGGCGUUGGUUGCGGAAUAUAAACAAAAAAAAAAUCUCCGCACAUUAUAAUGAUGAGCAGAAAAAUGAUAAUAAUUUGGCAACAGCCCGACUAAUAAAUUUACAUACAGAGCUACGAAAACAAAGAAAAUAAAUAUGACAAUUAAUACAAUAACAAUAAUACACAAUGAUGAUAGGAUACAGAACAGGAGUCUUGUGUGGUCGAGAAGGGAGAUGUCGCCGGCGGCGCGCCGAUUACUGUCACGCGAUAAGCACUAAUUGCUCGGCGCGAACAAUUACGUUAUCCCUAUAGUUCUUAGAUUGUGAAUCAUAAGGUAUAAUUUUAUUUAUUGAAUACUACGUUUAUUAUUUUAUUUCUAGAUAUAAGAGGUGCGUGUAUAUUAUAUUAUUUAUUAAUUUUUAAUUUGUAAAAUUUAUUGUGUUCAAUUUGUAUGAUUUGUGUCUCAUAACUCAUACCUAAGUUAUACCUUAUAUUAUGAUCAUCAUCCUCAAAGGUUGACUUACUCACCAAAUACUAUUUAAGAUAUGAAUCCGUUUAGUUGACAGUCCGUUACCCAUUAUGUAGACCCAUGCACCUUCUAUAUAAUAUCGACUAUUCAUGGUUCUUAAACUAUAAAAGUUAAUCAAUUUACAUUAGCUUUACUUGUGGUACACGAAACGGCGCUUGAAUUUAAAUGAAACUUAUUUUCUUUUACGUUACGUCCAAGAGACUGUCCUCAACUAUAGCUCAAUAACAAACCUAUACAAUGUAAAAUAACUUGGGCUAACCUUAAAUAGCCGGCUUACAUGAGCAGUGAGCACACUACACAUUCACCUCAAACGUAGAAUACUCAAAAAUGGAAGACACCAACAACAACAGCUACUUACCUUUAAACAUGUCCAUUAAAAAACAAGAGUCAUUAUAUUAUACAAAAUUCUACUUAAACUAAUAUGGAUAUCUAUAUAAUAUGACACACAAUUCAGGUGGUCUUUAAUCCUAUAAUUCUGGUAUAUAUACAUAGAUAUUACGAUGGAUGCUUAUACAAUACAUUGGAAAACCAUUUAUCCUUAUUAUGAAUCAGAACAACUAAAUCUAACUUAACAUAGUGAUAACAACAUACAUUGUAGUGGUACCCUCAUCUAAAUCGUUGUGAAAUUCUUGGUGAUAAUAUAUUUUGUAGGACAAUUAUAAAUUAAGGUAUUGCCAUAAUUCUUAGAUUGUGAAUGAUAAGGUAAAAUAUUAUUUAUUUGUUAUUUUAUUUCUAGGAUUAAUAAUUAGAAUAGCAACAAAUCUUUCAAAACAAUACAAACUAUUGUAUAACGGCAAAGAUCUCAGAAAAUAUGUCACAAACGAAAAACCGAUUACUUUUUUCUGUCAGAAGUAUAUGAAGGAUUCACAAAAAGGUUUUAUUAAAAAAUUGUUUACUACUGCUUGAAUUCAAAUAAAUAUUUUGUUUACUCAUUUGAAAAUACAUAUAAAUUAAGCUGUGUCAUACAAUUACAUAUUAUAUUAUAUCAUAUUAUUAUAAAUCGUAUUAUAAAUAUAUACUAUGCUCUAAUAAUUCAUAUUAAAAUAAAUUCGAUGUAUUUGACAAAAAAUGAUUCAACGUAUACCAAAUGUUACUAAUAGUAGGUUAAAUUAUAAAUUAAUAAUAUAUUAUAUAUUAUAAUACUAAUACAUACUUAAUAAUAAAGGUUUGUCUAUCUCAA